UGCGGUCAAUUUUGAUGCGUCAAUUUUGAUGCGGUCAACUUUGAUGCGGUCAACUUUGAUGCGGUCAAUGUUGAUGCGUCAACUUUGAUGCGGUCAAUGUUGAUGCGGUCAAUGUUGAUGCGGUCAACUUUGAUGGGGUCUAUGUUGAUGCGGUCAACUUUGAUGCGGUCAAUGUUGAUGCGGUCAAUUUUGAUGCGGUCAAUUUUGAUGCGGUCAAUUUUGAUGCCGAAAACUAAUCACAUUGCCGAACAUCACCAAAUCACAAAGGACAACAUUUACUGGGACUCGGCAUCAUAUUUUAUUAUUUUAGACAGAACUUUUAUGACAGUGAACUUUCUAGAAUAAAAUCAUAUUUUAUAUCCAUUGGACAGAACUUUAGAGGUACUUGACCUUUGACCUUUCUUACUAUUUAUAGUAACAUGUUACUAUUAUUAGCAUCGACCUUGAGCGACCUUGUAAUUUUGCUGAGUCAUGUGGACUUUGACCUCCACGUGAUAGCACGUGAUGGAAUUUGCACAUCACGCCAUAUACUUUCUACCGGAUUUACGUAAAUAAGCAUAUCAAUUACAAUAUUAUAAAAGGACGUUCACCGUCACUGACAAUCAUUCGAAGCGAUGGCAGCAUUUGAUGAAGACACUCAUUUUUAAGACGAACAAUUACAACUACAAUCUCUGAUAGAGGCGGCGAUGCAAGACGAAGCAUUUCCAACUAACGGCGGAAGUGACGACGUCGAUGGAGCAGAAAGUCAGACUGAAUAUUUAAUAUUUUUACUCGUACUUUUUUAUUGGAAUUUUCUUAUUGAAUUGUAUGAUUUAAAUCUUCCUUCAAUUCCUUAUAAAUUAUAAAUAUCUAUAAUUUGUACAAGUGUGCCGUGAACAUAAUGAUAAUUGAAAUAUUAACUAAUUAGAACAAAUCUACUUUUCGAUGUCGUAUUUUCUAUUUGUGAAAAAGCAUAUUUUUAUUGCCUCUUAUUGCGCUCUUAUGCCUCAUUUACAUAAAAAUCCAAAAUGUUUUCAAGACGUGAAAAGAAUUGUUGUCAUAUUCCAGGGUCAUAGGUCGGAAAACUGAUUACGUCACAAACCAUUUUCACGACAGAAAUCGAAUAAUAAUCGGCGAAUACCGAUAGUUUCCACCGGAUGUUUUGCUAGAAUCAGUAAAGUCAGUCAUGGCUUUGUUAUUGUGAAAUUGAGGGUCAGUGUUUAUUUGUUGCUUUUAUUGCAUUCAAAGCUACAAAUUUUCGAUAAUGACUUCACGAAAGCGUUGCUACAAUGGAUUAUGACAGUGAACUUUCUAGAAUAAAAUCAUAUUUUAUAUCCAUUGGACAGAACUUUUAUGACAGUGAACUUUCUAGAAUAAAAUCAUAUUUAUAUCCAUUAGACAGAACUUUUAUGACAGUGAACUUUCUAGAAUAAAAUCAUAUUUUAAAUCCAUUGGACAGAACUUUUAUGACAGUGAACUUUCUAAAAUAAAAUCAUAUUUUAUAUCCAUUGGACAGAACUUCAGAGUCACUCACUGCAGUCGUUGCCAACCAGUAGUGUCGUUGUUUCAUUUGUGAAAGACAAGUUUCAACGGUCAUUUGGACGACCAGCUUAGAAGUACAAGUCCCUCAUGCACAGAGAAACAAUCUUACAAAAGAAAAGACAAAACAAGCGGUGACGUCAUCGCAGGUGCUGACGUCAGAACUAUUGGCGUUAGAGAAGAUGUUUACGGUGCUUCAAAUGAUAAAGUGCUAACAUUAAAUGUCUCGGGUAACAGUAACAUAGGAAA